rnacentral:lncRNA from 1 species
GGACCCCUCUCUUUCUUUUCUGAACCCGCGAGAUCAGUGAAGAACAGCGGAAGGAGUCCUUGUAAUUAGGGGAGUGACAGGGGCCAGCGUACCCACAUGCAGAGAAGAGGAGCUUAGCGUUAACAUGAAAGGCAACCAGGCACCCAUUGAAGGUUUUUGGUUAAGGAAGACAGGUUUUAAACAACAUUGAAGGAAAAUCAGUCUGGCAAAAGUCUGUAAGGUAGACUGUGGAAUGGAGAGAGUCUGGGAUCCGGACAGCCAUCUGAAGGCGCAGGCUUCUGCAGGAUCCAGGUGAGGGCCUUCAGCACUCCCUGCACCCACCUUCCAGCCUCACUGCUGAAAUGCAGGCCCUGGGCAGGCCCAGUUUCCAAGCAACCACUGCCCCUGUCUUUCUGACCACCAGCAUGGAAGCCAUCCUUCUUUCUGUUCUUCUGUAGAACACAACAUAGGCUGCUUAUUACAUCUGCGUUGCAGACAUUCACAGACAUAUUUAUGAGAAAACUCACUCCACAAGAGCAGGGCUCCCCUCUUAGACCACUUUGCCAAAGUUAGACCAAAGGUAGUGUCAUAAUAGUAAUGGUACUAGAACCACUUAGUGAGCUCUAGAACACACAGCUAGGCUCCCUGUCUGGGUACACACUCCAGGAUAGCUGAAAGUCAUGGAAUAAGAUGUCAGCCACCAGAAAGGCUUGACACACUCCCCACGACCACCCUGCCUACUCGACGUCCAUGUUCACCUGCCGCAGAUGGUCACUGUGAAUUAAUAUCAAGCCCCAGUGACCUACAUGAAGAGAUCCUCUGAAGCAUGUGCUGAGCUAAACAGAGAGCCCACCAUUCUGAAUAAGCUGGAAAAAUCCACCACCUCCAGCUGUAAAGCUUAUAGAACAAGACUGAUAAUUUUAAAAUGUAGUUUCUUGAUAAAAGACAUCUUCAGGAUUCUCAAAAUGCUGCAUCCAUCUCACUGUGUUCCUAGAUCGUGAAAGGGUGGCUUUCUACCACUUAAUGAUGCAGAGAUCCAGGUUCCUUCUGUCCUCUGAUUCCACUACCUUUGGGCCUCCAAGUCUUCAGCCUCCAGCCUGCAAAGGAGGGAGUAAUGGGGGGCAGGGGUUUGUGGAUCAGCUUUAGAAGUAGCACAUAUGACUUAUGCUUACGUUCUAUUUUGCUGGAACUCAGCAAAUGGUUGGACUGAAGUGUGAUGAGACUGAAAAUGUGGUUUCUGUCUGGGAAGCCACGUCCUGGUGAAAAUAGCACAAUUGGAAAGGUCAAAUCACAAACUUUUGUUAGCAGAAGCUGCUUCUGCCAUAUAUGGAGAAAGGUUUUAGAAGAAAUUAAGUUCUCUAGAGGGAAAAUAAAUAUUCAUCACAC